ensembl:snRNA U6 U6 spliceosomal RNA
GUGCUCACUUCAGCAGCACAUACACUAAAAUUGGAACAACACAGAGAUUAGCAGGCCCCUGCGCAAGGAUGACACGCAAAUUCAUGAAGUGUUCCGUAUUUAA